rnacentral:rRNA from 1 species
AUUGAACGCUGGCGGCAUGCUUUACACAUGCAAGUCGAACGGCAGCACGGGCUUCGGCCUGGUGGCGAGUGGCGAAUGGGUGAGUAAUGCAUCGGAACGUGCCCAUUUGUGGGGGAUAACUACGCGAAAGCGUGGCUAAUACCGCAUACGCCCUGAGGGGGAAAGCGGGGGAUUCUUCGGAACCUCGCGCAAUUGGAGCGGCCGAUGUCAGAUUAGCUUGUUGGUGAGGUAAAGGCUCACCAAGGCGACGAUCUGUAGCGGGUCUGAGAGGAUGAUCCGCCACACUGGGACUGAGACACGGCCCAGACUCCUACGGGAGGCAGCAGUGGGGAAUUUUGGACAAUGGGGGCAACCCUGAUCCAGCCAUGCCGCGUGAGUGAAGAAGGCCUUCGGGUCGUAAAGCUCUGUCAGAUGGGAAGAAAUGGGUGGGGGCUAAUAUCGCCCAUCCUUGACGGUACCAUCAGAGGAAGCACCGGCUAACUCCGUG